UACGAAGGGGGCUAGCGUUGCUCGGAAUCACUGGGCGUAAAGGGUGCGUAGGCGGGUCUUUUAAGUCAGGGGUGAAAUCCUGGAGCUCAACUCCAGAACUGCCUUUGAUACUGAAGAUCUUGAGUUCGGGAGAGGUGAGUGGAACCGCGAGUGUAGAGGUGAAAUUCGUAGAUAUUCGCAAGAACACCAGUGGCGAAGGCGGCUCACUGGCCCGAUACUGACGCUGAGGCACGAAAGCGUGGGGAGCAAACAGG
rnacentral:rRNA from 1 species